UACGGAGGGGGCGAGUGUUGUUCGGAAUUACUGGGCGUAAAGGGCGCGCAGGCGGCCUGGCAAGUCGAGUGUGAAAUCCCUUGGCUUAACUGAGGAAUGGCGCUCGAAACUACCUCGCUGGAGGGCGGGAGAGGGAAGUGGAACUCUCGGUGUAGGGGUGAAAUCUGUAGAUAUCGAGAGGAACACCGGUGGCGAAGGCGGCUUCCUGGCCCGUACCUGACGCUGAGGCGCGAAAGCAUGGGGAGCGAACAGG
rnacentral:rRNA from 1 species